rnacentral:RNase_P_RNA from 1 species
CGGGUCGGACAGACGGUCGCGCGGCGUUUCACGCCUCGAGGAAAGUCCGGGCUCCGCAGAGCAGAAUGGUGGAUAACGUCCACUCGGGGUAACCCGCAGGCCAGUGCCACAGAAAUGAAACCGCCCGCUUAAACGGGUAAGGGUGAAACGGUGGUGUAAGAGACCACCAGUUCCCGCGGCGACGCGGGAAGCUCGGUAAACCCCAUUCGGAGCAAGGUCAGACAGAAUGCGCCACGAGGGCUGCUCGCCCCAGCAUUCGGGUAGACCGCUUGAUCCGCCGAGCAAUCGGCGGGCUAGAUGGAUGACCGUCGCCUCGCCUGGGUAACCUGGCGCAGGCACAAGACCCGGCUUACGCUCCGGCCCGUCCA